AAUGGGUCAGCGACUUAUAUUCUGUAGCAAGGUUAACCGAAUAGGGGAGCCGAAGGGAAACCGAGUCUUAACUGGGCGUUAAGUUGCAGGGUAUAGACCCGAAACCCGGUGAUCUAGCCAUGGGCAGGUUGAAGGUUGGGUAACACUAACUGGAGGACCGAACCGACUAAUGUUGAAAAAUUAGCGGAUGACUUGUGGCUGGGGGUGAAAGGCCAAUCAAACCGGGAGAUAGCUGGUUCUCCCCGAAAGCUAUUUAGGUAGCGCCUCGUGAAUUCAUCUCCGGGGGUAGAGCACUGUUUCGGCAAGGGGGUCAUCCCGACUUACCAACCCGAUGCAAACUGCGAAUACCGGAGAAUGUUAUCACGGGAGACACACGGCGGGUGCUAACGUCCGUCGUGAAGAGGGAAACAACCCAGACCGCCAGCUAAGGUCCCAAAGUCAUGGUUAAGUGGGAAACGAUGUGGGAAGGCCCAGACAGCCAGGAUGUUGGCUUAGAAGCAGCCAUCAUUUAAAGAAAGCGUAAUAGCUCACUGGUCGAGUCGGCCUGCGCGGAAGAUGUAACGGGGCUAAACCAUGCACCGAAGCUGCGGCAGCGACACUAUGUGUUGUUGGGUAGGGGAGCGUUCUGUAAGCCUGUGAAGGUGGCCUGUGAGGGUUGCUGGAGGUAUCAGAAGUGCGAAUGCUGACAUAAGUAACGAUAAAGCGGGUGAAAAGCCCGCUCGCCGGAAGACCAAGGGUUCCUGUCCAAC
rnacentral:rRNA from 1 species